GUGGUCAAGCUACAAAGGGCUAACGGUGGAUACCUAGGCACACAGAGGCGAAGAAGGACGCGGUUACCGGCGAAACGCUUCGGGGAGUUGGAAGCAAGCAUUGAUCCGAAGAUGUCCGAAUGGGGCAACCCUAGAUACGGUUGGUUGAAUCCAUAGACCAACACGAGCGAACGCAGCGAACUGAAACAUCUUAGUAGCUGUAGGAAGAGAAAGAAAACUCGAUUCCCUAAGUAGCGGCGAGCGAAAUGGGAAGAGCCUAAACCAAGGGUUAUUACCUUUGGGGUUGUGGGACAGCAACAUGGAAGCAGGCGGUUAGACGAAACACUUGAGAGGUGUACCAGAGAGGGUGAAAGUCCUGUAGUCGAAAACUUAAUGCACCUAGCUGAAUCCCGAGUAGCUUGGGGCACGUGGAAUCCCAAGUGAAUCCGCGAGGACCACCUCGUAAGGCUAAAUACUCCUGUGUGACCGAUAGUGAACCAGUACCGCGAGGGAAAGGUGAAAAGAACCCCGGAAGGGGAGUGAAAUAGAACAUGAAACCGUUAGCCUACAAGCAAUCGAAGCACGAUUCAACGUGUGACGGUGUGCCUGUUGAAGAAUGAGCCGGCGACUUACAGGAUGUGGCAGAUUAAGCCGAAAAUGGCGAAGUCAAAGCGAAAGCGAGUCUGAAUAGGGCGAUAGUCACAUUUUGUAGACCCGAACCCGGGUGAUCUAACCAUGUCCAGGAUGAAGCUUGAGUAACAUCAAGUGGAGGUCCGAACCGACUGAUGUUGAAAAAUCAGCGGAUGAGGUGUGGUUAGGGGUGAAAUGCCAAUCGAACCCGGAGCUAGCUGGUUCUCCCCGAAAUGUGUUGAGGCGCAGCGGUAGCGAUUAUAGUCUGGGGGUAAAGCACUGAUUCGGUGCGGGCUGCGAGAGCGGUACCAAAUCGAGUCAAACUCUGAAUACCAGAUGGACACGCUACCAGUGAGACGGUGGGGGAUAAGCUUCAUCGUCAAGAGGGAAACAGCCCAGACCACCAGCUAAGGUCCCCAAAUCACAACUCAGUGAUAAAGGAGGUGGGAGUGCAGAGACAACCAGGAGGUUUGCCUAGAAGCAGCCAUCCUCGAACGAGUGCGUAAUAGCUCACUGGUCAAGCGCUCCUGCGCCGAAAAUGAACGGGGCUAAGUUGUGUACCGAAGCUGUGGGAUAUACAUGUAUAUCGGUAGGGGAGCGUUCCGCAGUAGUGAGAAGCAUCAGCGAGAGCAGGUGUGGACGAAACGGAAGUGAGAAUGUCGGCUUGAGUAGCGCAAACAUUGGUGAGAAUCCAAUGCCCUGAAAUCCCAAGGGUUCCUCCGCAAGGCUCGUCCACGGAGGGUUAGUCGGGUCCUAAGGCGAGGACGAAAGUCGUAGUCGAUGGACAACGGGUCAACAUUCCCGUACCGAUUUGACGUUGUGCAGAGGGACGGAGAAGGCUAACACAGCCGCAUGAUGGUUAGCGGUGCAAGCGUUCAAGGUGAUGAGGGACGGCGAAAACGUCCUGAGCUAAGGCGUGAGUCCGAGAGGAUACGUCCUCGAAGUGUGUGAGGUCAAGCUUCCAAGAAAAGCUCUAACCACGUUAACGUCAAAUUGCCCGUACCCUAAACCGACACAGGUGGGAUGGUUGAGAAUACUAAAGGGCGCGAGAUAACUCUCUCUAAGGAACUCGGCAAAAUGGCCCCGUAAGUUCGCAAGAAGGGGUGCCCCUCGCAAGGGGGGUCGCAGUGAAGAGAUCCAGGCGACUGUUUACCAAAAACACAGGUCUCCGCUAAGUCGCAAGACGAUGUAUGGGGGCUGACGCCUGCCCAGUG
rnacentral:rRNA from 1 species